rnacentral:rRNA from 1 species
CCAAAAACGGUUUAUCCUUUAAAGACAUUUGUUAUUGUGCUACUUUUAUACGUUGUACUAAAACAUGGAAUCUAUUGAUAUCCCAGUUAAGAAACUUUAUAAUCUAAGAAAUUAGGAAUAUGACACCAAUAUAUUAACGACUAUUAAAGUGCCAGCAGUCGCGGUCACACUUUAGUUAAAAAUAAAAUUUGUUAGGAUAUAUGUAAAUAAAUAAUUUCCCAUAGUAAAAUAUGGAUAAAAUACUUUAAUAUUUUCACUUUAAUAAAUGCUGGUACCAAACAGGGAUUAGAUACCCCUUUAUGCAGCACACAAAUAUUUAUCCUGGGUACUACAAUCACCAGAUUGAAACUCAACUAACAUGGCGGUAGUUUAAAUUUUUAGGGGAACUUACUAAAUAAAUGAUAACCACCAAGAAUAUGUACGUUAGGUAAUAUUUUACAUACCGUCGUCGCCAGAUAUACUAUAAUAGAAUGUCAGAAUAUUACAAUAAAAGGACAGAUCAAGGUGUAGACUACCUUAACGGUUAAGCGAGUUACAAUAUAAGUUUUUUUCACGAACUCGGCUAUAAUGCCCACCUAAGGCGGACUUAAAAGUAAUAAUUAAUGAGGUUAAAUUAUGAAUAACUUUUAACCUG